UGUAAGCGUAUACCAAGGUUGUUGCAGUUAAAACGCUCGUAGUCGGAAUUUGGCAGUUCCGGAUGUGUGCACGUCGUGUGCGCACUUCGCGGGGAUUGCUUUUGUGGUCUUGCGUAGGAUGAGGCACUUUUAUUAGUGAACGUCCUCACGCAACCACUUUUUACUGUGAGAAAAUCAGAGUGCUCAAAGCAGGCAUUUGCCGUGAAUGUAUUAGCAUGGAAUAAUAGAAUAGGACUUGGUUCUAUUUUGUUGGUUUGUUGGGACUGAGUAAUGAUUAAGAGGGACAGUUGGGGGCAUUUGUAUUUCGGUGCUAGAGGUGAAAUUCUUAGAUUACCGAAAGACAAACUGCUGCGAAAGCGUCUGCCAAGGAUGUUUUCAUUGG
rnacentral:rRNA from 1 species